AACGAACGCUGGCGGCGUGCCUAACACAUGCAAGUCGAACGAGAAAGCCCGCAAGGGUAAGUAGAGUGGCGAACGGGUGAGUAAUGAAUAGGAACGUACCUAUGGGUGGGGGUAACCAAGGGAAACGUUGGCUAAUACCGCAAAAGACCGCCAAGGCAAAGGAGGCGUCGGGCUACCGAGCUUUCACCGGAAGAGGGGGCUAUUUCCCAUUAGCUAGUUGGCGGGGUAAGAGCCCACCAAGGCAACGAUGGGUAGCUGGUCUGAGAGGACGAUCAGCCACACUGGAACUGAGACACGGUCCAGACUCCUACGGGAGGCAGCAGUGGGGAAUCUUGCACAAUGGGCGAAAGCCUGAUGCAGCAACGCCGCGUGAGUGAAGAAGGCCUUUGGGUUGUAAAGCUCUUUCGGUUGGGAAGAAGGGAAUAUGGGCUAAUACCUCAUAUUUUGACGGUACCAGCAUAAGAAGCACCGGCUAAUUCCGUGCCAGCCGCCGCAGUAA
rnacentral:rRNA from 1 species